AGACGAACCGGACAAACGUUAUUCGGAAUCAUUGGGCUUAAAGGGUGCGUAGGCGGUGCGGAAAGUUGGGUGUGAAAUCCCUCGGCUCAACCGAGGAACUGCGCUCAAAACUUCCGUGCUAGAGUGAGACAGAGGUGAGCGGAACUGAUGGUGGAGCGGUGAAAUGCGUUGAUAUCAUCAGGAACACCGGUGGCGAAGGCGGCUCACUGGGUCUCUACUGACGCUGAGGCACGAAAGCUAAGGUAGCGAACAGGAUUAGAUACCCGAGUAGUCC
rnacentral:rRNA from 1 species